AGCAUAACGAUAUUUAUAUACCAUAAAGUGAUAAAACUAUUACAUGUAAAAGGAGAAAAUAUGUGUGAAAUUGUCAAGUUUGUUAUGAUUUUCAUUCUUUCUGCAUUUCUUGUUUCAACAAACAUAGAUUGGCGUAAUAAUAGAUGUAACAGAGACGCUGAAUGUCGAAAUAUGUAUUGUCGCUGGGGUCUUGAACCAAGGUGUAUCGUACACAAAUGUAAAUGUGUUUAAUUAAUGUUGGAUUAGAUUAUAUUCCCAAAAAAAGAUUAUGUUCCCACAUA